UCCCGGAUCAGCAACGCCGGGGUGAAUACGUUCCCGGGCCUUGUACACACCGCCCGUCACACCACGAAAGUCGGCAACACCCGAAGUCAGUGGCCUAACUCUUUUAGAGAAGGAGCUGCCGAAGGUGGGGUUGGUGAUUGGGGUGAAGUCGUAACAAGGUAGCCGUACCGGAAGGUGCGGCUGGAUCACCUCCUUU
rnacentral:rRNA from 1 species